UAUAUCUUUGGCCUCAAAAGAAAGAACAAAUUAAAAAUCAGGGAAGGAAAUGUUAGGGUUCGUUUCUUGCUUACAUCCCCAAAUCCCCUCAACUUCUCCAAAUCUACACUCCGUUUUCAGAUAUUCUUCUUUAUUUCCCAACCUCAAAUCCACAUUCCACUACCCUCGACCUUCACGAUUCAUCCUCUAGCUCAAAUGGAAACAACAACGAUGAUUUAACCAAACAACCUAACAAGAAACCAGAAGAAAGGCAAGUGAUGGGGAUUCGAAGGACGAUCGGCGGUCCAUUUUUAAUUUCAGGCUGGGUGAUUUGCUGGAUCCGGAUCCUGAUAUAUCGUAGCCCUUGGAUUGACGGUCUGCUGACGUGGGCCAGUGUUCAGGUCGAGAUUUGAAGCCGUUUCCUUUUGAUAAAUAUCCCCCGGCGAUUGCCAUCACUUUUCUUCACUGCCGAGGUUGAGCUAGGAAUGGUUCGAAUGUCAUCAACAUCCGAUUGCUUGAACCACUUCAACAUGAAAAUACCAUCUGAACACCUGCAAGUAUUACAAUACUAGGAUUCAAACUUCUUGUAUCUCAUACUAUGCUAAAAUCAUUCAUCCAACUCGCUUCGAUUCUGUUCUAACCACGAUGCAAAACUAUGUUGAUUAUCAUACCUGGAAGAACCAAGCAUCCUGACGUUUUUCCGCCCAA